rnacentral:lncRNA from 10 species
GCAGAGGGCGUCCUUACUCCAGUAUUUCCAUGUGCUUCCCUGACCCGGGCCGGCCUGCCCACCAGGUCCCUCGAAUCGGGGCCUCUCAGCGUUUGAGCUCUGCUCUCGCCCCGUCCCUCUCCUCACUCCUGCGGGAGAAACGGCCCCUGUUCUUUCCGCCCCACGUUGUCCUCGUGAGUGUGUAGUCCAGGUCCUGUUUCCCCACAGAGACUCUGCAAAAAACACGGGGCCCAGAGGUGAAGGCAGCUCCAGGUGGGGUCACCCCGAGGCAGGGCAGAGCGGCUCCGUCCCCUCCCACACCCGUGCUCCCGCUAAUGCAGCCUCAGCGCCGCAGCCCGGGCGGGUCCAUCUGCAGACGCCAAGGUCCCUGCCGCAGUGUUUCUCUUCUGCUCCUCAUGGCACGCGCCGGGCUCCCCAGAAUCUGGCCUGGGCCCCCCGUCUCACGCUGGCUCCCCGCAGGUGGGAGGUGGACCCUGACUACUGCGAGGAGGUGAAGCAGACACCGCCCUACGACAGCAGCCACCGCAUCCUGGACGUCAUGGACAUGACGAUCUUCGACUUCCUCAUGGGAAACAUGGACCGUCACCACUACGAGACUUUUGAGAAGUUUGGGAAUGAAACGUUCAUCAUCCACUUAGACAAUGGAAGAGGGUGAGCCUGUCCUCGCCCCUGCACACCCAGGGAAGGGCCGGCCACCUCCCAGCUACCUGCAGCCCACCUGAGACCCUGGGGACGGGGGGAGCAGACCCUCCAGUGGAGGGAUGGGAAUGUCGCAAAGGCCCAUCUCAGAGCCAGAUGCAGAGGGCGGCCCCAGGCCCCAACCAGGAGGGAGGGCCGCCCCGGGAGUGGGACCUCCGAGGCACAGGAAUGCUGCAGACCAAGUCCCGGCAGAGCUGGUGUUACCUGGGAAACGGAGGCCAGGAGAGGCUGCUGGUAGGAAGAGCAGGACCGUGCAGAAUAGAUGGGCCUCUGCCUGCACGCGGUACCUGGAGCCAGCCAGCGGGGGAUAGGCGGCCUC